CCCAGACUCCUACGGGAGGCAGCAGUCGGGAAUAUUGCGCAAUGGAGGAAACUCUGACGCAGUGACACCGCGUGCAGGAAGAAGGUUUUCGGAUUGUAAACUGCUUUAGACAGGGAAGAUACAAGACAGUACCUGUAAAAUAAGCUCCGGCUAACUACGUGCCAGCAGCCGCGGUAAUACGUAGGGAGCAAGCGUUAUCCGGAUUUAUUGGGUGUAAAGGGUGCGUAGACGGGAAGGCAAGUUGGUUGUGAAAUCCCUCGGCUCAACUGAGGAACUGCAACCAAAACUAUCUUUCUUGAGUGCUGGAGAGGAAAGUGGAAUUCCUAGUGUAGCGGUGAAAUGCGUAGAUAUUAGGAGGGACACCAGUGGCGAAGGCGACUUUCUGGACAGUAACUGACGUUGAGGCACGAAAGUGUGGGGAGCAAACAGGAUUAGAUACCCCCGUAU
rnacentral:rRNA from 1 species